UUUCACAGCUGUAUGAAGAACUCGUGUGGACGCUGACUGCAUGGGUUUGACCUAUGUUGCAAAAAACAUUUACAUAGUCUUCUGUCAACGAUUUUUAUUUAUUUCGGGUGAAUAUGGGAGGUAAUGGUCCUAGCCAAUUUGCACAUGAAGGCGAUGGUGAAGGCGGUGGAGUGUCUUUUGUGAAGGGCAUUCGGCUGUCAGACCGAGUUGUCCACAGAAUGAAAGAGUCUCAAAAGGUGGCCAGACCUCAUCCAUCUGAUAAUAAACAACAAGCGCCCUCACACCCUGAACCAGAAGCAACAGCGCCCACAGCCCCGGCACCUUCUGCUGAGCACGUCUCAACACCGCCGGAAUCUCCCAUAGCUCCACUCAUCCCCACCCUACCUGCCCAAGAACCGACGGCUGCCUCAACACCUCCAAUCGCCCAGCCCAUAAAACUCACCACUCCUCCGCCUGUGAAGUUCCAUUCGGCCCCUCCCCCUGUUGCACACCAAGAGCCUAUAAUGGAAACCACGACGGAGCCUGUUGCCAUAACGAUGACCUCCCCUGUCCCCGAACCCGAGGCAACAUCUAAACCGCUUUCUGAACCUGAAAUGGUUCUUCCCACAUUAGUGGAACCCAUCACCCAAUCUGUACCUCCUCAAACUGAAACUGCUCUUCCUACCCUGGUGGAACCCAUAGUCCAGUCUGUACCUCCUCCCCAAACUGAAACAUCUCUUCCAACCAUAGUGGAACCUACAGUGCCUCCUCAAACCUUAGUGGCUCCUCCUACCCUGGUGGAAACUAUAAUCCAAUCUUUAUCUCCUCCUCAAACUGAAACAGCUCUUCCUACCUUGGUGGAACCUACAGUCGAAUAUGUACCCCCUCCUCAAAUUGAAAUGGCUUCUCCUACGUUGGUGGAAGCCAUUGUUCAAUCUGUACCUCCUCCUCAAACUGAAACAUCUCUUCCAACAUUGGUGGAAUCCACAGUCCAAUCUUUACCUCCUCCUCAAACCGAAACAACUCUUCCUACAUUGGUGGAACCCAUAGUCCAAUAUAUUCCCCCUCCUCCUCCAACUGAAAUGGCUCUUCCUACCUUAGUGGAACCUAUAGUCCAAUCUAUAGUGCCUCCUCCAACUGAAACGGCUCUUCCAACCUUGGUGGAACCAAAAGUCCAAUCCAUACCUUCUCCCCAAACUGAAAUGGUGCUUCCUACGUUGGUGGAACCCAUAGUCCAAUUGGUACCUCCUCCUCAAACUGAGACAGCCCUUCCUCUCUUGAAGGAACCUAUAGUUCAAUCUAUAGUGCCUCCCCAAACUGAAAUGGCUCUCCCUCCCUUGGUGGAACCUAUAGCCCAACCUGUGCCUACUCCUCAAACUGAAACCGCUCUUCCUAUGGUGAUGGAACCUGUAGUCGAAUCUAUAGUCCCUCCUCAAACCGUAGUGGCUCUUCCUACCUUGGUGGAACCGGUAGUCGAAUCUGUACCACCUACUUUAAUUGAAACAGCUCUUCCUACAUUGGUGGAACCUAUAGUUGAAGCUAUAUCCUCUCCCCAAACUGAAAUGGCUCUUCCUAUGUUGGUGGAACCUAUAGUUGAAUCUAUACCCUCUCCCCAAACUGAAACAGCUCUUCCUAUCUUGGUGGAAACGGUAGUCGAAUCUGUUCCACCUACUCUAAUUGAAACGGCUCUUCCUACAUUGGUGGAACCUAUAGUUGAAUCUAUAUCCUCACCCCAAACUGAAAUGGCUCUUCCUACUUUGGUGGAGCCUAUAGUUGAAUCUAUACCCUCUCCCCAAACUGAAAUGGCUCUUCCUACUUUGGUGGAACCUAUAGUUGAAUCUAUACCCUCUCCCCAAACUGAAACAGCUCUUCCGAUCUUGGUGGAACCCAAGGUUCUCCUCUCUGCUCCAGUUGAACCUCCACUCCCUACUGAGGCUGAAGUCACUACUCCCUCUCCACCUCAUCCCCAAACAUUGCAACAGUGCGCCAUAGUCGAAGAGCAACAGGAGACCCCAUGUGCUACUCCAGUGGCAGAACCUACUCUCAAUGUACCUCCCAUUUUCCUCCCGGCUCCAGUUGAAAUGGAGACCUCUCCCCCCAAGCCUUCUGAAGCCAUCCUCGUUACCACCAGCGUCGCUCCAUCUGUGGAAGACAACAUCACUGCUGUUCCAGUUCUAUCCUUUGAAUCUGUUGCUCCUCCGAGCCCCGCUUUCAUCGAUAUCGAGCACUGCGUGGUCUCUCAGACGGCAGUCUCCGAGCCUCCAACCCCUGCAGAUUUACCCCAACCCUGUCACUCCAUGGAGGUUUCUCUCUCAACCUAUGAAUCGGCGGCAGCAGAACCCCCAACGGAGCCCAUAGACAUGGAGCCGCCCCCGCAAGACGCCGAGGCCGAAGUCCAGAGCUCAACUUCCCUUCCCGUUACUGAGGAUCUGUUUCCUGUAUUCAUCUUGCGCCCGCAACCUGUGCCUGAUGUCACAGUGGAUGAAGACGAGCUCAGGAGGAACGUCAAAGAGGCGCUGCAGGAACGUCUGGCUGAGGAGAUCACCCAGAAGAAACAGGAGCUUCAACUACAGCUGGAGGAGGCCAAGGCAAAGGCCAGGUCCGAGGCGUGGGCAGCAGCACAGCUACAGAUCCAAAAGCAGGUGCAGCAGACCCUGGAGGCAGAGAAGGCCGGCCACGUGGAGCAGCUCAGAAACGCUCUCCUGACCGAGCGCAUGAAGUGCGAGGACGAGCGGCUGAUCGCUCAGGUGUAUUUGUUGGAGUUGAAGGCCCAUAAACUCGAUGAAAAAGAGAGGGCAUUGAAGGAACAAGACCAACGCUUCAGGGAACAUCUUGACAAACUGGAAGAAAAAGUAAAGGUCUCAGUUCUACAAAGUCAGCGCCGAGAACUUCAAGAAGGGACAAGAGGAGACUCACGCUCGUUUUGCGCGCUACAGCGUCAGCCCGGCGUGCGGUGACCUGCAGAGUCGUGUGAUGAACUGUUACCGGGACAACGCGGGCCAGAGCCUCGUCUGCUCCCCCAUCGCCGCCGCCUACAUGCGGUGUGUGGCCGACGCCAAGCUGCAGAACAAGCUGAGCACCGGAGGUUAGCGCGGUCUGUGGUAAGGACUUUGCAUAUUGUGUCGCUCCUUGCGUGCACAAGAAAAAGAACAAGCACAGGUUCUCACACCGCAAGGGAAACGGAGGACACGCAUCCACAAGACGGCCGACGGCGAGAUUCUUUUAGAUACAGGGAUAGUGACGCACGCCGACUCAAAGACUUCUAUCCACUCGUCCAUAAGUCCCGAGCGUUCCUGGGGUUAUUGUGUGCAGUGAUGAAGGUGUGCUGUUAACUCUCACUGUAAAUAUUCAAUGCACUCCAUGCUAAUGACAACAUCACCCUUAUCACCUGUUACAUUGAGAGCUACGGCCCGGCACAAACACGGCCCUCGACAGAAGAAAGUGAGAAUGAUCAAUAGAAAUUUAAACCUAAGUGUCAUAGAGUUUUAGAUUGUAGUUUUUCUUUCUUGUGUGACUUAAGAUAGGCAUUUAUUUUGUUUGCCCGAUGCUAAUGAAAUGAAGUAUGUGUUUAUGUUUUGUAAUCCAACAUUUGCACAUGUGCCUUAUCCUCUAUUAUGAUCAAUGUAUUGGAAACUGCGUUUGUUGAUUGAAAAUUAUUUGACACCUGCA